CGAUGAGAGAUGAGGGAUUGAGGUUAGGUUUGAGAGCGAUAGGGAGAGCGAUUGAGAGGGAGGUUUGUGAGUGAGAUUGGGAGAAGAGAGGGCGAGAAAGCUAGCUGAGGACGAUGACUCUUUGAGUCUGUGUUUACUUUUGUUUUUUUUUCAUUUUCUUUUUUUUGUUCCCUUUUAUUUAUCCCUUUUUUUUGAUAGAACAAUUUUGAAACCAUUACUUUUUCUACGUUUAAACUUCCUAGAUUUUUCAUU
rnacentral:lncRNA from 1 species